rnacentral:rRNA from 1 species
GACGAACGCUGGCGGCGUGCCUAAUACAUGCAAGUUGAGCGCUGAAGGUUGGUACUUGUACCAACUGGAUGAGCAGCGCACGGGUGAGUAACGCGUGGGGAAUCUGCCUUUGAGCGGGGGACAACAUUUGGAAACGAAUGCUAAUACCGCAUAAAAACUUUAAACACAAGUUUUAAGUUUGAAAGAUGCAAUUGCAUCACUCAAAGAUGAUCCCGCGUUGUAUUAGCUAGUUGGUGAGGUAAAGGCUCACCAAGGCGAUGAUACAUAGCCGACCUGAGAGGGUGAUCGGCCACAUUGGGACUGAGACACGGCCCAAACUCCUACGGGAGGCAGCAGUAGGGAAUCUUCGGCAAUGGACGAAAGUCUGACCGAGCAACGCCGCGUGAGUGAAGAAGGUUUUCGGAUCGUAAAACUCUGUUGGUAGAGAAGAACGUUGGUGAGAGUGGAAAGCUCAUCAAGUGACGGUAACUACCCAGAAAGGGACGGCUAACUACGUG